AUGGGGCAGCGGCGGCGUGCCAGAGUCUCUUGGUCUUGGGCUCCCGUCCCCUGUCGUAAUCAAAUCACAGCCACAACCGGCGAGGCUUCAGUUAACAUUCCCAACUUCUUGGCCAAUACAACGAUAAUCAGCGCCUCACCCCGCUCCACUCCAUGCCAGCCCAACAGUCAUGUUAUUGAACACUGGAGAGAAACCGAGCACCACUUUUCACUUGAAUUAGAAAUGCCAAAGGAAAACCAUAGGAUGAUUUCAAAUCACCAUGGGUUGAAAGAGCAGUUGGCUAUCACGCCAUGGCCGUUUCUGUGGACGUGA
rnacentral:rRNA from 1 species